UGAAUUGACGGGGAGCACCACAACGGGUGGAGCUUGCGGUUUAAUUGGAUUCAACGCCGGAAAUCUUACCGGGACCGACAGCAAUAUGAAGGCCAGGCUGAAGACUUUGCCGGAUUAGCUGAGAGGUGGUGCAUGGCCGUCGUCAGUUCGUACUGUGAAGCAUCCUGUUAAGUCAGGCAACGAGCGAGACCCACGCCCACAGUUGCCAGCGUACUCUCUGGAGUGACGGGUACACUGUGGGACCGCCGCUGCUAAAGCGGAGGAAGGAAUGGGCAACGGUAGGUCAGUAUGCCCCGAAUAUCCCGGGCUACACGCGAGCUACAAUGGUUGGUACAAUGGGUAUCUACCCCGAAAGGGGACGGGAAUCUCCUAAAACCAAUCUUAGUUCGGAUUGAGGGCUGCAACUCGCCCUCAUGAAGCUGGAAUCCGUAGUAAUCGCGUUUCAACAGAACGCGGUGAAUACGUCCCUGCUCCUU
rnacentral:rRNA from 1 species